rnacentral:rRNA from 1 species
AGUGAACGCUGGCGGUAGGCCUAACACAUGCAGGUCGAACGGCAGCACAGUAAUAGCUUGCUCUUACGGGUGGCGAGUGGCGGACGGGUGCGGAAUACCUCGGAAUCUACUUUUUCGUGGGGGAUAACGUAGGGAAACUUACGCUAAUACCGCAUACGACCUACGGGUGAAAGCUGGGGAUCUUCGGACCUUGCGCGAUUGUAUGACCCGAUGUCGGAUUAGCUAGUUGGCGGGGUAAAGGCCCACCAAGGCGACGAUCCGUAGCUGGUCUGAGAGGAUGAUCAGCCACACUGGAACUGAGACACGGUCCAGACUCCUACGGGAGGCAGCAGUGGGGAAUAUUGGACAAUGGGCGCAAGCCUGAUCCAGCCAUACCGCGUGGGUGAAGAAGGCCUUCGGGUUGUAAAGCCCUUUUGUUGGGAAAGAAAAGCAGCAGGUUAAUACCCCGCUGUUCUGACGGUACCCAAAGAAUAAGCACCGGCUAACUUCGUG